UCCGUUUUCGGUUCGAUUUCCAUCACCUACUCGAUUGCUCGAAAUCUAAACGGUAUUUUUCUGUAGAACAUCGCGGUCUUCGAUGGACAAAGCAAAGCAAAUGCAAAAACCGCCAUUUUAUAUUUGUUUUGUCGCUGUGUGAAACUUUAUUUUACUGAAAAUAGGAGGCAAAUAAGUGUUUCUUCUACAAUUUUUGUCCUGGAAUUGUUUGCCAAGCAAGAACAGUUACUCACCCAGUGUCAACAGUCAUCAUUCAAGCAAUUAUUAACCCUUGGUUCAACCACCGUUGUGUUCGUCGGAUCGGAGUGCAGUCUGUUGAAGAUCCCGGAGGUUUCAUAAUGAUUUGGAGGGAUGAAAGGGAAGGAAUACCAAUAGAAAGGCGAGGGUGAAAUUUUACUGCGGGAUCCCGGAGACUGAAUUCAAAACACUCAUUAAAUAGUACAAUUGCUUCCCUGUUUGGCUCAUCCCCAGCCACGAUAUUUUUCAGUUUCAUCAGCAGCAACAACCAUACAAAAAUUAUAAUCGACACGAAACAUGUUAGAAAGUUCGGGUAUGAAAUCAGUAAUUUACACGAUUCGGCACAAUUCUGAAAAUAAACGGACGAAAAUGGGAUGGAUUUAGUACCGGGUUUCGACCUGGGAAGCUGUUAAAGCAAUGAAAAACAAAACAAUAAAAUUCUGAUCAAGAUGUUGGAUUACCGAUGGAAGAGGCAAAACACCGGGGCGCUAUGCACACUAAUUCCGGAAUUUGCGGCUUUAAUCAGCAACCAGACCAAAAUGCUAGUCCUGUAUAGAAAUUUUGGAUUUUUGGCUAUGUUUUUGGAAGUCUACACCGUACGGACAAAACCAGACAUUCUUAUCCGAUUUGUGCGGACCGCAAAGUUCCGGGUUCUCACUCCUAAGAGUUCACAGUUUAAUUGUAAUUUAAUCGGAAAGAACUACAAAUGUAACCCCACACCGUAAGUAAUUACUCACCAAAAAAUAAUUAAAAUUAUUCGAGCCAGAAACGCAUAAAGCCGUAAUUUAAUUUGACUUUUUUUAAGUAUGACUUAAUUUUACAUCAUUCCACAUCUAUAAUUCAUGCGCAUAGCAUUCAAAAUUUGAAAUUAAACCUCAAACCUAAAUUUAUAUCCCAAAAGAUGUAAAAAUGUGUGCGCCUAAACGCAAAUUUAGAGUAAAAGAUACGAGCGUGAAUAAAUUGACAUAAUAAAAAAAGUAAACAAAAAAGUAGUCGGAUUUGGGAGGUCGGAAGUUUUCCGGAAUAAUUUAAAGCCGUUUUUAGAUCCAACAAGUGGACAAGCGUUACAUGGAGCAGAAUCUUUGAGUGCCAAAGUGUGUGAAGAGAUGGUAGCAGAAAUCACGGAUGAUUUGAGGUUUCAAAAAUUGUGCCAUUCUGGAAUUCCUUCCAACGAGACAAACAAAAUUGGCAAUUUGACGGAGGCGGAUCAACCGGAAUUCUGUACCGUGUACCGUGAUAAACGUUAAUCACGAUGAAGCAUAUUCUGCUGGUCAGCUACAGAAUGUCGAUUUCGGGCAACCAUCUAUUUUAAAGGGAUGUGAUUUCGCUGCAUAAAUGGCACAACGCAUAACGACGAAUACUGAGUUAUUUUGUCUUCAUUAAGCCAGCAACUCUGCUUCAAAAAUGUUUAGGUCAGGUCCAGGUCUAGCUACAUCAGGAUUCGAUCAUGCGUAGGGUAUAGAUCGACCUAGAAUCGCUUUAUUUCUUUGUCAUCAAAUACUUUGUCAGCUGGUUUCUAAGACGAACGAUGGAUAGCUCAUUUUGGCCAGAUCAAUUCGACCAACAUGCCGGUAUUAAACAAAAACUGAAGGAGUUCCAUAACCAACUGAUGAUGUUUCACUUUGGCAAUCGAACGAAGUUCACAUGCUUUUCGAGGCUGUGAGGAAAUUUCUUUGAAUUGAUGCAAAAAGACUAUUUGGUUGGCGGUAGGAGUUCCUGAUUUUGUCCGUUUUCUAUAUUCCAUUGAAUAUGCACAAACUGCGCUUUGAAAGCCUUUCCCAAGUAAAAACCCUAGCAAAACCCCCAAAAAAAUCUAGGCCAUCCCAACACAUGUUCGGCUGGACUGAAUACGUCUACGCUUAAUUAUCAAUCUGCCAACCACUUUGAGUUCGUCCCAAGAAGAAAUCUCGCCGGUUAUAAAUGUUUUGUUUCUCCCUACAUACACAACCUGAAGAAAGAAUUUAAUUAAAUUCAGUAGCGUCCACGACCGGUAAAGUGCCGUCUACUGGUGGCACCGGUUCCAGACAAUGAUCUGUAUCGCAGUCUAGAAAUUUUUCAAUUGCCCAUCAACAACAGCCACAAACAAUUGCAUUCCCAGCCAUGCAUAAUUAUGCCAUCAAGUAUUCGAUGGAUUUGUUGACGAUCAAGAAGCGCCUGAAGGAUUUGGUCUACAAAUCAUGGGAGGACUUUUUCAAAGAAUGUGAAUGAACAAAUGUAAAAUGUCCAACGAAGACGAUUACCGGUGGGCACAACCGGUCAUGGAAUGAACAAGUAUAUGGAACAACGGAAUGAACUGGCCGAAAAACCGACCACGCAACAACCACAUAUAUAUCUAAUUGAUCUUGUACAAACUCUAAGCAAAUGUUUAUGAUGGUUUGUAGCAUUGCAGUUUGUCAAAAUUUAUUGUUAUUUAUUGUUUAGUCGGGCGAGUAAAUUAAUUAACAGUUCGAUCGAUGCAGAUUGUUAUACAUCCAAGCAAAAAAAAAUUGGAUAGUCAGGAUGAUAGCAGACAUUAAAAACUCGAACAAACUAGUUAGGUUUAUGAUGGUAGAUAUUAAUUGCUGCUCACAUUUUCUAACACCUUGCCGAUCAAGUUUUUUAUUCUAAGGAUAAGCUCUAACUCUAAUCUUGCUAUACGAGUUCCUAUUAUAGAAAAACAAAAUUUAUAUAAAUUUGCUUUAGGCCCAUAGAUUUUUUAAGGUGCAUUUCGGUAUAUUUGAAGCACCAUACGAUUUGUAUACUUGAGAAUUGAGAAGAAGAACGGAGUACUUCUAAGCAUGUUCGAAUCAAGGGAUAAGCUUUGUUUAUUUAAAUUCGAAUGUAUUUUUUUUUUAUUACAGGUUUACAUAUGAAGGGAACGAUUGUAUUCCUGUAACAAUAAAAGUUUGAAAAAAAUGAAAAUUUUGUCUUUUAAAAUAAAAUAAAAACUGAAAUUUUGGCAACCCUGGUAAUCAGUCCGGAAAUGGUACGAAAAUCCGUUCGGUUUCGACCCGAAAACGAUCCGUUUGUUUUGGCGUUUGAAAUCCGCGAUCCAUACGAUCGGCCCGAAAAUCAUUCGAAAAUGCGUUCGGUUUCGGUUCGGAAAUGGUCCGUUUGUUUUGAAAUUUGAAAGGCUCGAUUCGUACGAUCGGUCCGAAAUUCGUUCGAAAAUGCGUUCGGAUUCUGUUCGAAAACGGCCCGCUUGUUUUGACAUUUGAUCUGCUCGAAAUAACUUAUCGUCGUCCGAGAAAGUGUUUCAUUUUCGCGCGAUUUUCUACUAAAUUCGGCCCGAUUUCUUAUACGAUUUCGGACCGAUCGAGCAGAUGUACGGACAAAAAUCGGGCCGAUUUCGGGC